GCCAGGCAUGGUGGCACAUGUCUGUAAUCCCAGCUACUCUGGAGGCUGAGGCAGGAGAAUCGCUUGAACCUGGGAGGCGGAGGUUGCAGUGAGCCGAGAUCAUAAUACUGCACUCCAGCCUGGGUGACAGAGCGAGACUCCAUCUUAAAAAAAAAAAAAAAGAAAUGGAGUCUUGCUCUGUCACCCAGGCUGGAGUGCAGUGGUGUAAUCUCGGCUCACUGCAGUCUCUGCCUCCUGGGUUUGAGUGAUUCUCCUGCCUCAG
rnacentral:SRP_RNA from 1 species